AUGGCCGCGCCCGGACGUGUCUGCAGCCGGGGGGCGGGGCCGAGCCUGCGCGCGGGCCCGUCCUGCCGCGCGAUUGGUCACCGCGCUGCUCUCUUUUCUGCCUCGCGGGCCAACCGCGUUCGAAACUCCGGGGAAGCGCGCAACAGCUGCCCUUGGGCAGACACACCCUUCGGGAGCGCCGCCCCGCGGUCUGCGCGGGGUGUCGCGUCGGGGGCGCGGGCCGGGGCGGGAGGCGGCCAACCUGUGCUCGGAGAGGCGUCGGCGAGGGGCCAGGCCGGGGGGACGGUCGUUGGGCGGCGGGGGCUCGCUCCCUGCAGCCCCGCCCGCGGCUGUUGGGCAGCCGUUCCCCCGCGCAGGGGCUUUAAAGCGCUUGGGCCCCCGCCACCGCUGGUUUCUGGUAGACACCCAAAGGUAGGAAGUCGUCUCCCAAGCCCCCAUGUGCCGCUCACAGUGCGGAGGGGACAAGAAGGCAGGCAAGGAUCUGCUCCCACCCUCGAGAUCCCCACCCCUUUCCGGGGCUGCUUUCACGCCGUCACGGGGCCGGCCUGCGUCCCCGCUCCUGCAGGGAGUUUUCCGCUCAUUCCGGACUCCUCUGUCUGCCGGCUCUGGCUCAGGGAUCCCACCCCGCACGGGAGGGAUGCUGGACGGCGAGCUUUGUCUGACACCCCCCCACCCCCCGGGAGCCGCUGGGGGCUCAGAAACCCCAAGCUGCAAAGGAUGGGGCGAGAUGGAAUGUGCAGCCUCGUAUUCACUAGAUAUGAAAGAAGUGACUGUUCUUUGAUGCGUUGCCCUGCCCAGCCUGACUCAUGGAGUUUCUUUUUCCAGCAAGCUUUGAGAGUUCAUCACAGAACUUCCCAAAAGAAAGUCUCCAAUGGAAGGCGUCAACAGGCAGUUUGUGCCCUGCAAUUCUUUGAAGUUCUAUCCUCAAAACCCAUUCCUUAUUGUUUCCACCAAUCCUUACCCAAUUCUAGUCAAAUCUCUGCAUUGAUAGACUCACCUUAA
ensembl:lncRNA